rnacentral:rRNA from 1 species
CCUACGGGAGGCAGCAGUGAGGAAUAUUGGUCAAUGGACGAGAGUCUGAACCAGCCAAGUAGCGUGAAGGAUGACUGCCCUAUGGGUUGUAAACUUCUUUUAUAUGGGAAUAAAAUGUUCCACGUGUGGCAUUUUGUAUGUAUCACAUGAAUAAGGAUCGGCUAACUCCGUGUCAGCAGCCGCGGUAAUACGGAGGAUCCGAGCGUUAUCCGGGUUUAUUGGGUUUAAAGGGAGCGUAGGUGGGUUUUUAAGUCAGUUGUGAAAGUUUGCGGCUCAACCGUAGAAUUGAAGUUGAAACUGGAAGCCUUGAGUACAGAAAGGGAGGGCGGAAUUCGUGGUGUAGCGGUGAAAUGCUUAGAUAUCACGAAGAACUCCGAUUGCGAAGGCAAGUCUCUGGACUGCAACUGACGCUGAGGCUCGAAAGUGUGGGUAUCAAACAGGAUUAGAUACCCUAGUAGUC